rnacentral:lncRNA from 1 species
AAUAUUCUACCCAGCAUUUUGAUGUCUGCUUUUAUUUUGUUGCCCUUGUGUAAAGUUGGAUUGCUUGAGGUUCUAUUAUUAUUAAGAAGAUUCUACCUGCAGUGCUGAUAGUACCAUGAAAUGAUGGUGUGAACUCUAGAGGAAAAAAUACACAGUAUGUAUAUUACUAUUACCAGAAUCCUCAGACUCUGGUAGGGAAACGAUUCUCUCCUUAAUAUUAUUAAAGGACUUGAAUUAUUCUGUCACAUAUACUGCCAAGCUGUUAUAACAUAAAUAGCUUUCAGUUAUUCAACAUGUAGCGAUCAAGUGACCAUAUUUUGCAAAAUAGAGGAGGAAGAUUUAGUAUAAGCCCCACUUAAUUUUCUAUAUCUUCUAAGCCCUAGUAGUAACAACUUAAAAGGAGUAUUACU